AUGGGAAUAGGGUUAGAAACUGUGACGUCUGAGCUUCUUCGUCCUUCCAACGGUGGCACGGUACUUCCAUCAACGACGAUUGCUCCGAACUUCUCCUCUUCGUCUCUCAACCUUGAUCCAAACAACCUUUGUCCAGUCUCAUCUCAUCUCUUCACCGUCAAUUCUCACUCAAAUCUCCAUCACGUUUCAGUUCCGCUUUCCUCUCGUGUAUCACCUUCAUCACUUCGCGAUUUCGUCUCAAAUUCUGAAAACACGCAAAAAUCCUGA